rnacentral:lncRNA from 1 species
UUUCUCUGUGCCUUUCCGCCUCGUGUGCCAAAGGAGGCCUUUCAGAGCUGAGAGUUCCCCAGGGUGUCUGACUCAGAGGAUCACAGUGACCCCAGGCCUUCUCCCUCCCAGGGCCUCUAGCUACACAUUCCAGCUGGGGAGCCUGCCUGCCCAGCUCCUCCAGCUCCCCAAGCAGUAUCCCCGUCUCCAGCCUCCUUCUCUGUUCCCACACUGACCAGGGGCUCUGCGUGGGGAGGAUGGGAGGUCAGUUCUGCCUGGAGCUGCUGCUGCUGCUGAGGUGUAAGGACCCUGCAGAGGGACUGCAAGCCAUCAGUACAUAUUCCAGAAUAUCCUGGACUCAACUGUUUUAUGGCUGGUCAUUUGAAGCUAUGGGGAAAAACACGAAUCUUC